CCUACGGGAGGCAGCAGUGAGGAAUAUUGGUCAAUGGGAGAGAUCCUGAACCAGCCAAGCCGCGUGAGGGAAGACGGCCCUAUGGGUUGUAAACCUCUUUGUCGGAGAACAAAACCCGGGACUUGUUCCGGACUGCGUGUAUCCGAAUGAAAAGCAUCGGCCAACUCCGUUCCAGCAGCCGCGGUAAUUCGGGGGAUGCGAGCGUUUUCCGGGUUUAUGGGGUUUAAAGGGGUCGUAGGCGGUCCGUUAAGUCCGCGGUAAAAUUGCGGGGCUCAACCCCGUCGAGCCGUUGAAACUGGCAGAAUUGAGUUGGCGAGAGGUACGCGGAAUGCGCGGUGUAGCGGUGAAAUGCAUAGAUAUCGCGCAGAACUCCGAUUGCGAAGGCAGCGUACCGGCGCCAGACUGACGCUGAGGCACGAAAGCGUGGGGAUCGAACAGGAUUGGAUACCCUAGUAGUC
rnacentral:rRNA from 1 species